GCUCAGAACGAACGCUGGCGGCAGGCCUAACACAUGCAAGUCGAGCGCCCCGCAAGGGGAGCGGCGGACGGGUGAGUAACACGUGGGAACGUACCCUUUGCUACGGAAUAGUCUCGGGAAACUGGGGGUAAUACCGUAUGUGCCCUUCGGGGGAAAGAUUUAUCGGCAAAGGAUCGGCCCGCGUUGGAUUAGGUAGUUGGUGGGGUAAUGGCCUACCAAGCCGACGAUCCAUAGCUGGUUUGAGAGGAUGAUCAGCCACACUGGGACUGAGACACGGCCCAGACUCCUACGGGAGGCAGCAGUGGGGAAUCUUAGACAAUGGGCGCAAGCCUGAUCUAGCCAUGCCGCGUGAGCGAUGAAGGCCUUAGGGUUGUAAAGCUCUUUCAGUGGGGAAGAUAAUGACUGUACCCACAGAAGAAGCCCCGGCUAACUCCGUG
rnacentral:rRNA from 1 species